AAUAUUGCUGCCGGAUUAUUAUCUGUCUCAAUGAAGCCAGGAUCAAGAGACAAAGUGUUCCUCAUGGGAAUAAACACUGCAUUCAUGCAUGAACAUAAUAACUUGUGUUUUAUUUUGCAGGUAUCAGUUCUAACGUGCUUGAUUAUUUCAGGAAUCAUUGCUCGUGCUCGUAGAGUUGUACCUUUGCACUCAACACACCCUCACAGAUACUUUACCCGACGCAAUACUCCCAGACUGAUGGAUCUCCCUAACACAGAUAUUCUCG
rnacentral:lncRNA from 1 species